rnacentral:rRNA from 1 species
AUGCAAAGAACUUUGAAAAGAGAGUUAAAGAGUACCUGAAAUUGCUGAAAGGGAAGCGAAGGAAACCAGUGUCAUGCCUGUCAUACUUCUCUACUUGCUUGCGGGUGGAGCGCUGUGGCUGCAUUGGUCAGCCUUGAUUGGUUUUGCCAUAAACAGUGGUCAAUCUGAUUGAGUGUUGACGAAAUGGUUUUCUUUACCCCGUCUUGAAACACGGACCAAGGAGUCUAACAUAUGUGCGAGUACAGGGGUGGCAAACCCCGGUGCGCAAUGAAAGUGACAGUGGUUGGACAAUUCUUUGCACAAUCCGCCGGCCUCAAUCCCUCGGGAGAACGGUCUGAGUGUGAGCAUACAUGUUGGGACCCGAAAGAUGGUGAACUAUGCCUGAAUAGGGUAAAGCCAGGGGAAACUCUGGUGGAGGCUCGUAGCGAUUCUGACGUGCAAAUCGAUCGUCAAAUUUGGGUAUAGGGGCGAAAGACUAAUCGAACCAUCUAGUAGCUGGUUCCCUCCGAAAUUUCCCUCAGGAUAGCUGUGAUCGAAGGACAAUUUUAUCA